CAACCCCUCAAGCCCUGUGCUUGGUGUUGGGGCCCCUACGUGCGCCGUAGGCCCCGAAUUCCAGUGGCGGGCUCGCCGCGAACCCGAGCGUAGUAGCUUUUGCCUCGCUCAGGGCCCGCGGCGGGCGCCUGCCGUGAAAGAACCCACUAUUCUAAA
rnacentral:misc_RNA from 1 species